GGGGAAUUUUGGACAAUGGGCGAAAGCCUGAUCCAGCAAUGCCGCGUGCAGGAUGAAGGCCUUCGGGUUGUAAACUGCUUUUAUACAGGAAUAAAAAGGCUUACGUGUAGGCCAUUGCAAGUACUGUAUGAAUAAGCACCGGCUAACUACGUGCCAGCAGCCGCGGUGAUACGUAGGGUGCGAGCGUUGUCCGGAAUUCUUGGGCGUAAAGAGCUUGUAGGCGGUCCGUCACGUCGGAAGUGAAAACUCAGGGCUUAACCCUGAGCCUGCUUUCGAUACGGGCAGACUUGAGGGAUGUAGGGGAGAACGGAAUUCCUGGUGGGGCGGUGGAAUGCGCAGAUAUCAGGAGGAACACCAGUGGCGAAGGCGGUUCUCUGGACAUUUCCUGCCGCUGAGAAGCGAAAGCGUGGGGAGCAAACA
rnacentral:rRNA from 1 species